ACAAGGAUGGAAUCCGGCAAUUCUGGCAGUUUGAAAUCCAUAGUCAAGGCUCAGGCUUCAAGCUCCCAAAACUCUCUCCCCUUGCAGUGAUCUUGGGGAAGCAUCAGGAUAGCCCAGCAGAUGUGCACUGCUGUGAACACCAUGCGGUAUCUUCUCUUCCACUUUUUCAGGAUGCCCCAGAACAAAACUGCACUCAUCCAGAAGUUCUGGGGAAUAGCACAGACACACUGACGUCUGCAGACAAACACUGAGCAUCUGCUAAUAUACUGAGAGUUCUGACGUUGGACUGUCACCAUCAUUUUGAGCUUAGCAUUUCAAGAGUGAAUACAGUAGAGCCUGGGACGAGAGUUUGAAGUGUGUGGGCCCACUUAUUGAAAAAUUUGGUCUCUCUCUGCCACCCCUGAGACAGCAAGACCAAUCCCUCCUUUUCCUGUUCCUACUUAAUGUGAAGACAGCAAGGAUGGAGACUUAUGAUGAUCCCGCUCCACUUCAUGAAUAACAUCCUCCAAUUAUUCUUGUUUUGGACAUCAUGUUAGAGGACUCACCCAUGGAAGCAUCUCACUGACCUUCCUUCCUGACUGCUUCAUCCCCUACUGGAAGGAAAGAGAGAGAAAAAGUAAUAGAAUAAGAUAAUUUAGUAACCUCUGGACAAUGCUGAGAAAUUGAAACUAUAGGAUCCAUGUUCAGAACAAAGUACAAUCUAUAGACCAUGAGUCAAACAUUUCAUGACAAUUCUGUAGAAAAUGACAUCUGAAAACCCAAAUUGUACCAAACCAAACCUUUCUUUCAUAAUGGAAAUGUGUAGGUCACACUUUAAAGUUUUUUCCACUCUCCCUGUACAGGCCAUACUCUGUGGGGAGAAAAAUAACCAGGUGGUCAUUCCAUUAGUUGAAAUGGAAGAAGUCAUUCUUAAAUAAUUUCAAAUUCCUUUAAAUUAUAAGUCCUUCAUAUGUUUAGCAAUAUCUCUCUCACAUAUGGGGAAAGCAGUGCCCUCUUAUUUUGGAACUGAGGCUUUGGAAAACAGGCCCUGCUUACCUGACAUUUCCGACGGGGAGAGGCAGGAGGUGUUAAUAUACCCAGGGCAUGUGCUGCUCUUAUAAAGUGGGAUCCACAAGGAGAGAGAGGUGACCGGUUGGCUGGUGAAUGUGGUGGUGCUUUUAUGAGGCCAUGAACACAAGAGUUGCAAGGCCAACUGAUUGUGUUGUUUUUCACAAUGGUGUCAUUGUAAAAGGAGCACAUUUUUUAACUUGGGCCUGAGAAUAUUUAACAUAAAUUGUUGCUAAAACGAAGGAAGGACAAACUAGUUUGGACUGUAUUUUAAAGUCAUCAUUUCACUGAUGUUGACCCCCAUUCUCUGCUCGUGCUGGAAGACUUCUGCUGUCCACCCCUGCAGCCCGGGCGGGUUUGCACAAGACGUGGCACAUGUCCUGGAAAGCUAGGAAAACCCCAGCUCUGUCACACGCCAGUAUGAAAACUGAAGCACGGAGAAGUGAAUCGAAAGGCUCAGAUCAGUUUCCAUACCUGUUGUAUUAGUUUCCUAGGGUUGCCAUAGA